UACAGAGGUCCCAAGCGUUGUUCGGAAUCACUGGGCGUAAAGGGUGCGUAGGCGGGUCUUUAAGUCAGGGGUGAAAUCCUGGAGCUCAACUCCAGAACUGCCUUUGAUACUGAAGAUCUCGAGUUCGGGAGAGGUGAGUGGAACUGCGAGUGUAGAGGUGAAAAUUCGUAGAUAUUCGCAAGAACACCAGUGGCGAAGGCGGCUCACUGGCCCGAUACUGACGCUGAGGCACGAAAGCGUGGGGAGCAAACAGG
rnacentral:rRNA from 1 species